rnacentral:rRNA from 1 species
UACGAAGGGGGCUAGCGUUGUUCGGAAUUACUGGGCGUAAAGCGCACGUAGGCUGAUUGUUAAGUUAGGGGUGAAAUCCCAAGGCUCAACCUUGGAACUGCCCUUAAUACUGGCAAUCUCGAGUCCGGAAGAGGUUAGUGGAAUUCCCAGUGUAGAGGUGAAAUGCGUAGAUAUUGGGAAGAACACCAGUGGCGAAGGCGGCUAACUGGUCCGGUACUGACGCUGAGGUGCGAAAGCGUGGGGAGCAAACAGG